GACGAACGCUGGCGGCGUGCUUAACACAUGCAAGUCGAACGGUAAGGCCCUCCGGGGUACACGAGUGGCGAACGGGUGAGUAACACGUGGGUGAUCUGCCCUGCACUUCGGGAUAAGACUGGGAAACUGGGUCUAAUACCGGAUAGGACCCUGGGAUGCAUGUCCUGGGGUGGAAAGCGUUGGCGGGGUGGGGUGGGCCCGCGGCCUAUCAGCUUGUUGGUGGGGUGAUGGCCUACCAAGGCGACGACGGGUAGCCGGCCUGAGAGGGUGACCGGCCACACUGGGACUGAGAUACGGCCCAGACUCCUACGGGAGGCAGCAGUGGGGAAUAUUGCACAAUGGGCGCAAGCCUGAUGCAGCGACGCCGCGUGAGGGAUGACGGCCCUCGGGUUGUAAACCUCUUUCAGCACCGACGAAGCGCAAGUGACGGUAGGUGCAGAAGAAGGACCGGCCAACUACGUGCCAGCAGCCGCCGUAA
rnacentral:rRNA from 1 species